CUGGGGGUUACAGACGUGAGCCACCACGUCAGGCAUCUCUUAUCAUUUAAAUCUGUGUUUCAUGCAUAUAAGUUUUGUUUCAAAAAAUAGACUUUGUAUCCCUUCACUUAAAGCACAGUUGAGAAAAGACCAUUGAAUCAAAGUUUACCAGAUCACAUAAUAAAUAAAUAAAUACAUAAAUAAAAGGUUAAGACAGCAUUCUAUUAUAGGAAUUUCUUGCCUUAGUUUCCUCAUCCUGGGAAUCAGAAAUUAUAAUAAUAAUUAUAAUAAUAGGAUACAGUUAUAAUAAUCAGGUACUGAACACUCAGUCUACAUUGUAUAAGAUUCACAACACAUUCCUUACUUUCAGAGAACUAUAAAGGUUAAACAGUAAAUUCUGACACAAGUCCUCCAUUUUACCUUGCAAAGGAAGCUGAGGGACACGUUCUCAUCUGAUCAGAAUGCUCUACUGUGUGUCCAUAUUGCUUGUCUAUUCAGAACUGCUUGUCAGUUCCGGACUGAACUUCUGUUUUAUGCUCCAAGGUGCAGAUUACUGAAAACCAACAGUUACUCAUCUUUUCUUAUUAUCCCUUGAAAUGACUACAUGAGCUCUUGGAAAUGAGAUCAACAAAACCACUAAUGAAGCUGUCAUAACUGAGAUUCUCACAUAAUUUGUGUUAUUGACAAUAAUAAUCUAAAGAAUUAAAAAAUAUAAAUGUGUCCUAAGUCUACAAAAUUUGAAUAUAUAUUUAUAAUACUAUAAAUUUAAAUUAAAAUUAUUUUUGUGAUUUGUAUUUUUAUAUUUCAUUUUGUAAAAUAUUCAAAACUAUCCUUCACAUUAAAAGGCAAAGUAUAAAUUAUAAUCAAUGAAUAUUAAAAUUUUAAAUAAAAAUCAUUGAAAAAAUCCAAGUUUCACAUUUAAUUUUUUGAAAAUGUAAUUAAAUCUUAUUACAUUUUAUUAUACAAACAAAAGUAAACACAAACCUGGCAUUGAAAUUUCAUCUAGUUGCUAACUAAAGAAUCAGUACCACACUUCUUGAUGUCAUUCAUGUCUUGACCUACCUAUAAACAAAUUUAAAUCAUAUGAAUCACUUAAGUUUGCAAAAUGUUUUUCAGGCAACAUGGACAACUAUUGGAAACAUGACUUGGAAAACAAAGAAUAGCAAUAUAAUGGGCACUCAGUACUACUGGGAAUAAUACUUAGUUUUUGUAAAAAUGUACUAUAGUCUUACUUUCAGAAAGAGUUUCACAAGUUUAUUCAUUAAAUUUUCUUUUAACCAGCAUGUAUACUACUCAAAUCCUUCCUGUGUUACCAAGUAUUGUCUCUCUCUGACUUCCUGCAUAGGCACAAAGAACAGAAUAGAGAAAGAACCCUUUAACACUAGCCUAGGGGAAGUAUUGUUAGUAAACCCUGGACUUACUGCUUCUGAUUCCUCAUACCCAGUGUUGUAGGAGUUCAGUGACAUUUACAUUUUUGAAGUCCAGGCAUGUCCUUAAUGUAGCAUUUUUUAGUCCAUAGGUCUAUGAAAACACUAAUUCCCAGUGGAGUUAGAGGAUACUCUUUGAAACACAAAAGUACUGCAGUUAAAUAUUAGAAAAAACUAUUUCAUAAUAGCUUGCUUCUUGGUAAUUCAUAGUGCACAUUAUCAUAUUAUGAGCUCAGAGAAGCCCCAAAGAAAAGAAGCCUGUUUAACUUUGUUUCUCUGAAACAUUUGACCACUAAAACUAUUUUUCAACAGGAGAGUGCUGACUUUGGUGUUUGCUAUGGUUUGAAUGUAUCCUCCCAAAAGUUCACAUGUUGGAAACUUAAUCUCCUUAAUCCCCAGUGUUGGAAGGUGAAACCUAAUUAGAGUUGAUUGAGUCAUGUUGAGUGGAUUAAUGCAGUUUUUGUAGGAGCAGCUUAGCUAUUGCCAGAGGAACUUGUUAUAAAAGUAACUCCCAUCCUUGGUCCUCACUCUUUCACAAGUGCUCACUUGCCCUUCUGCUCUUCCGCCGCUGGACAAUACAGCAUAAAAGUGCUCACAAAAUGCUGGUGCUGUGCUUUCGAACUUCCCACUCUCCAGAAUUCUAAGAAAUAAAUUGCCUUUAUUUGUAAAUUAUCCAGUCUAUGGUAUUUAGUUACAGCAAUAGAAAUUGGUCUAAGACAGUGUUCUUUAAAAUCAAUGUAGAAAACACUGCUUUAACAUUUAAAUGUCUAGUACAUUUUUUCCCCAUAUGUCUUUCAACCAGCUUUCCUACCAACGAAUUCAUUAACACAGGAAGGAAUUUACAUUUCCUUAUUGCCUAAGUCAGCAAUUGCCAUGACAAAGCAAACUGACAAUUUUAGAUCUCUAAUAAGUACAAUAGCAACCAUUAAAUAAGGAAAUCAAUUUUAAGUUUAGAAAAUACCAGGUGAGGCCGGGCACGGUGGCUCACGCCUGUAAUCCCAGCACUUUGGGAGGCCGAGGCAGGCGGAUCAUGAGGUCAGGAGAUCGAGACCAUCCUGGCUAACACAGUGAAACCCCGUCUCUACUAAAAAAUACAAAAAAAAAAAAAAAAACUUAGCCGGGCGUGGUAGCUGGCGCCUGUAGUCCCAGCUACUCAGGAGGCUGAGGCAGGAGAAUGGAGUGAACCCGGGAGGCGGAGCUUGCGGUGAGUCGAGAUCGCGCCACUGCACUCCAGCCUGGGCGACAGAGCGAGACUCCAUCUCAAAAAAAAAAAAAAAGAAAAGAAAAGAAAAAAAAGAAAAUACCAGGUGAAACUUCUCUUUACUGCUGGUUUUGAAAGCAUGACAGUCUGGCUGAGAAACUGUCACUUGAAAGAAAGCAGGAGGGGUAAGAGCAUUGAAGUUUUCACCUGCUUGCCCACAAUGUCACCUGAUUGGACACUAUUCAGUCAAAACAGAGAGACCUUUGUCGGUUUUUCUUCCUCUGUGACUGCUAUUACUUGAAAUCAAUUGUUUUGCCAGGCAAGUUCCAUUGAGACUUAGAUCACAGGGAUCAAAACGUCAAUCUGUCUCUAAGGAAUCAAUCUAUUUCCACCCAUCUGAACACCCAUUGUCUAAAAAAUAGCAAAUAAUCAAAUUAAAGGGAAACUGCAGUGAUUUCUAAUUUGGGAUGCUAUCAGCAAGUCCAAGAGAUGGACUGUCAGAAAUAAAUUUACUACCUAACAGUUAAAGAAAUUGGGAGCUUUGACUUGGAAACCUAAAAGGAACAAGGCAGAGGACAAAGCCUUAUGCAUUAGUAGCAUUUUCUGAGGAAGAGUCAUGAGGUGAAGAACAAGAGUGUUACAGAGAUUGUAACUAUUAUACCAUUUAAUACCUAAUUUCCAGGCCGGGCAUGGUGGCUCAUGCCCGUAAUCCUGGCACAUUGGGAGGCCGAGGCAGGCAGAUCACCUGAGGUUAGGAGUUCGAGACCAGCCUGGCCAACAUGGCAAAACUCCGUCUCUACUAAAAAUACAAACAAAUUAGCAGGGCAUGGUGGUAUGUGCCUGUAAUCCCAGCUACUUGGGAGGCUGAGACACAAGAAUCGCUUGAACAUGGGAGGCAGAGGUUGCAGUAAGCUGAGAUUAUGCCACAGCACUCCAGCCUGAGGGACGGAGUAAGACUCUGUCUCAAAAAAAAAAAAAAGAAAAAGAAACAUUCUGUUUAAUGUAAGGAAGGUUACAAGCAAAAAACAAAAUGAAAACAAAGAAAGGAGUAGAAGCAUAAGAGUAGUGAACAGAAACUCUACCAAUCAUUGUGCAUGUGUAUACAUUUGUCAACCUUCUCUCAAACUUGACAGGAGCUCAUAGCAGAUUUUGAUUGGCUUACAAUAAGUCAACCUAAGACUGAAAGAGAAAGUUCAUUUAUUCCCUGGUCAAGUAUUUGCCUUGUUCCUUCUGUGUACUCAACUUGAACAUUAGAAGAUUAAUGCCUACCUCGGUGUGAGAAGUGGUGAGUAAAAGAUGUCUGGAAAGUGUGAUAUGAAGCAAAGGGAAACUUACUUUCACUCUUACUUUUGACUUUGGCCAAUCUUAAAUACAUAACUGGUGGAUUUAAAUAUUAAAGGUUUAUUUUGAAAGUAUCACAAAUAAGUGAAAUUUAAAUAUAAUAGGAGAGGGUAAGAUACUACAGCUUGAUAAGAAAACCAGGAGACUCAAAAACCUAUUCCCCACCCGCUAAACCUGGUGCCCACUUGAAGUGAGUGUUUGAGAGGCCUCAAUUUUGGUGGCUGGGAACUCAGAGUUAGAACACGAGUCCACUGAAAAGAAGAACAAAGCCAGGAUUUUUUUUUUAAAAAAAAGACCAGAAGUUAGGCAAGUCAGACCCACUGAGGAAUCCAAGAGUCAAAAUCUGUGAUUAGAACUAGCUGGAAUAAGGGCCACAAGGACUUGCAGUACUCCAGAAGUUGUACACUGUUUUGCAAUGGCCUCACCCACUUGUAUGUUGGGGUAAAACACUCCCAACAUAACUGGGAAGAUUUUUCUGCUCGGAUACAAGUUUCAGGUGCUUUUCUGAGCCACUCUCCAACUCCCUACAGUGUGUCUUCUGCCUUCCAGCUAUAGGGACCUAAGAAACUCUUCGCUGUGUUUUUUACACAAGAACCUUUAUAUAGACAAUGAACUCUAGAGAACGGACAAAGGAAUGGGCUGCACUUUUCCCUAAGAAAAGUUCCCAAGGUUUGAGUGAAAAUAUAGCCUAGAGUAGAUAAUUAAAGAUGUAAAUGGAAGGAGUGCAGGAGUGGAGAGGGGAGGGUGAAGGUUGGGAAGUGGGGGAGAAAUGACUUCCUUUUUGAUUUAUGACUUUAAGAGACAAAUUUUUAAUUUCAUUUAUUCUUUUUCUAGGUGGUAGGAAGAGUUAUUCUUUAGUGUGUUUAAUCUAAUUUUGAGUUUACUGCAUUAUAA
rnacentral:lncRNA from 10 species